rnacentral:rRNA from 1 species
GAUGAACGCUGACAGAAUGCUUAACACAUGCAAGUCUUUGGUGAAGCUGUGCUUGCACCGCCUAGCCAAGGCGGACGGGUGAGUAACGCGUAAGGAACUUGCCCUGCAGUCAGGGAUAACAGACGGAAACGACUGAUAAGACCUGGUAAAGUCAGGCGGACUCAUGUCCAGCCUGAUGAAAAGAGAUGCUGCAGGAGAGCCUUGCGUCCUAUUAGCUUGUUGGUGGGGUAACGGCCCACCAAGGCAAUGAUAGGUAGCCGGCCUGAGAGGGUGGACGGCCACAAGGGGACUGAGAUACGGCCCUUACUCCUACGGGAGGCAGCAGUGGGGAAUAUUGGACAAUGGGGGCAACCCUGAUCCAGCAAUUCUGUGUGCACGAUGAAGGUUUUCGGAUUGUAAAGUGCUUUCAGCAGGGAAGAAAAAAAUGACGGGACCUGCAGAAGAAGCGACGGCUAAAUACGU